AUGUUAUAUGAAAGGAGAAAAGAUUAGCACUCUCCUUGACAAGGAUGAAAGAGGCCUUCAGGCAUGACAAGACAGAUGGUUAAGGCAUUGACAUCUAUUUUGUGGCAUCUAACCAUCAUUUUUU
ensembl:snRNA